GGCAGAGCCUGGAGCAUGGCAAGGACGGCUCUCAGACUUCCAGGAUACUCAUUUAUUGCAGAGAGCAGGUCUAAUUCCCUGCCCUGGGUACAGUAAUGGAUUGGCAACACUUGUCAUAAUUCAAUUUUCCCUCUUACUGUUGAAUCUCAGACAGCCUGUGUAUCUGAGGAUGGAGCUUGUUGGUACAGCUGCAAUAUAAGCUCUACAUCACCACACUGAGCACCUCCUUGCACUGCCCUAUCCCUCUGAAACAGUACAGAGAGGAAGACUCCUGCUUUAGAGAAAACUCUGGCAGGGGAGGGGAGGGCAUACAAAGAAAAAUUCGGAUUUCUACACCAUCCACUCUCAGGAUUGCCAGACCUCCAUUCCCAGUCACAAGGGAAGACUGGCAGCAGGUCCCUCCAGGGCUCAAGACACCAAAAGCCACGGGGAGCUCAGAGGUGCUACAGAGGCAAAAAUGCUGAGCAGCCACUGGGAGCUGGGCAGGAUCAGCACCACACAAGGGUGACACUGUGACAAAUGCCCUGGUUUCACCUGAGAGCAGAGAGAGUGCCUGCUCAUGGCUCCAGCUUCCCAUGGCUCAGGCAGGAGGAAGAGCAUCGCUUGGGAAUUGUGAGCACCAGACUGCACACAAACAGAGAUGUGACCAACCACCACGUGAGGGUUCUGGACACUGCAUUAGAGGAUUCCAUGUCCACUGACUGUCAGUGAUAUCCCAAGAGUUCAACUUUGAAAUAAAACUACUGCUU